AACCUGGAAUUUAGAUCAUCAUCAAGAGUUAAUCAAUCAGUCAAAAGCAUAGCAUGGCUUCUGGCACUAAGCCUAUAUUUGUCAUCUUCAUCAUCUUCUCCAUCCUUUUGCUGCUCUUUACUAGUACACCAACCUUUGCAGCACGUCCAAUUUCAAUUAAUUCUCCAGGCGUUUUGGACCCUAAUAGACCCGCUUGUGGUGGAUCGAAAGGGAGACCUUACGGUGCUUGUAAGUCACCACCGCCACUGAAGAAGAAGAGGAAAUGUAACCGUUAUAACGGUUGUCCACCAGAGCAAACAAAUGAUGUUGGUACCGAUCGUACCCGACUAAAUAUCAAAACUAACAAUUGAAGCCACCUGUGAAACAAUCAAACAUGCCAUGCGUGAAUAUAUAUAUAUAUAUUGGUGAUGCAGUAAACUUGGAUCAUUAAUUAUUUAUGCAUGCAUGUUGUAUCUACCAGCCACUACAAGUUAUCAUCCUUCCUGUAUCUGAAGGCUUGAAUAAAUAAAUAAGUGGCAAUCUAUGCUUCUAGUUUGUCUGAAAGAA